rnacentral:rRNA from 1 species
UACAGAGGUCCCAAGCGUUGUUCGGAUUCACUGGGCGUAAAGGGUGCGUAGGUGGCCAGGUAAGUUCGGUGUGAAAGCUCGGAGCUUAACUCCGAAAUGUCAUUGAAUACUAUCUGGCUAGAGGGUCGGAGGGGAGACUGGAAUUCUCGGUGUAGCAGUGAAAUGCGUAGAUAUCGUUUGGAACGCCAAUGGUGAAAACAGACAGCUGGGAGUGUGCUGACGCUGAGACACGAAAGCCAGGGGAGCGAACGGG